rnacentral:rRNA from 1 species
UACGAAGGGGGCUAGCGUUGCUCGGAAUCACUGGGCGUAAAGGGUGCGUAGGCGGACUUUUAAGUCGGGGGUGAAAUCCCAGGGCUCAACCCUGGAACUGCCUUCGAUACUGGGAGUCUUGAGACCGGGAGAGGUGAGUGGAACUGCGAGUGUAGAGGUGAAAUUCGUAGAUAUUGGGAAGAACACCGGUGGCGAAGGCGGCGACCUGGUCCUUUUACUGACGCUGAGGCGCGAAAGCGUGGGGAGCAAACAGG